GACGAACGCUGGCGGCGUGCUUAACACAUGCAAGUCGAACGGAAAGGCCCCUUUGGGGGUACUCGAGUGGCGCACGGGUGAGUAACACGUGAGUAACCUGCCCUUGACUUCGGGAUAACUUCAGGAAACUGGGGCUAAUACCGGAUAGGAAUCCUUGCUGCAUGGUGGGGGUUGGAAAGCUUCGGCGGUGUUGGAUGGACUCGCGGCUUAUCAGCUUGUUGGUGGGGUAGUGGCUUACCAAGGCUUUGACGGGUAGCCGGCCUGAGAGGGCGACCGGCCACAUUGGGACUGAGAUACGGCCCAGACUCCUACGGGAGGCAGCAGGGGGGAAUAUUGCACAAGGGGCGGAAGCCUGAUGCAGCAACGCCGCGUGCGGGAUGACGGCCUUCGGGUUGUAAACCGCUUUCAGCAGGGGCGAAGCUUGUGGUGACGGUACCUGCAGAAGAAGCACCGGCUAACUACGUG
rnacentral:rRNA from 1 species